AAAGGAUUCUCCUUGACCAACACAGGAUAUACUGAGUGUGCGUGCGUGCAUGUGUGCGUGCGUGCAUGUGAGUGUGUCUAUGAGAGAGAGGGAGAGAGAGUAGGUGUGUGUUUGUGUAUGUGUUAUAUAUGUAUAUUGUAUAUAUACACAGGUAGAUUUGUUAAUUAAUAUAUUUAUUCAUUCAUUUAAAACUUGUCACUACUUGCUCCUCCAGUCUUUUUAUAUAUUUCUCCCUUUUUAACUGCCAAUUGUCAGGUAGCUAAUAGCCGGGAGCAAUGGAUUAAAUCCCUUAUAAUGAACUCUUCUGAGGUUCUACAGUAUAAAAUUUUGCUAAAGUCACACUUUGUUCUGAAGGCACAGAGAUACUUUGUGUCAUAACAAAGGCAGUGCCUAGUACCUACUAUUAAGUUAUCAAUAACAAAAAGAAAUGUUUCAGAAGAUACAGAAAAGAGAAAAAGCUCUGGAGUUGAGACACAUCUGGAAUCAAGUUCUGUCUCUGUAAUUUGACCUUAGGGAAGUUUCUUCCCAUACAGGAUGCUCCGUUCCCUCAGUUGCAAAAUGAGGAAUUAAUAUCUGACUUCAUGCUUCUGUAUGUAUCUGAUACCUAAUCUUAUGAGUAGCACAGUGUACACUCCUAGUAAAUGUUGUUCUUCUACAGGAGUGGGAUAAAAACAAGAUUCAUUCAGAAUUCUGCCCCCUUUCCUAAUUGGAAGAGGUUUACGUUAAAACCUUACCAGUACAGUUUACAUUUAUUUGUGUCUCUCAAUUAUUUUAGUUCAGUGUUUCUCAACCCUGUCAGCACAUUAGACUACCUGAAGAGUCUCUAAAACAUAUUGAUGUACAAGCCUUACGUAAAACUAGUCAAAUUAGAAUUCCUUUGAGGUGGGGCCCAACCAGUGGUUUUGUAAAACUUGCCUAGAUGAUAAUGUCAGCCAAAGUUGACAACUGAUCUUGUCCAUUUGAGCAGAAUCCGAAGUGAAACUUUUGUGGACUUUCCUCUCCAUGGUGAUAAGAAAUUGAUCAUGCUUUUUCUUGGACCUCAGUCCCUCCGACUCUCAAGCUCUCUGCCCCAUCUUAUCUUCCUUUUUCACUAGGAUUUCAAGUAUUCAAAAGGUUCAUGGUGAAAGUCUGCAUCUGUUGAUUCUGUUCUCCAAAAUGUUGGGGCACAAUUCAGGAAGAGAGGGAAAGGUUGAUAGGUUAUGAGAUUAUAGUACAUUUGCUACCUGAUGAUACAAUUAAACAAAUUACUUGAAAGCUCAGCUCAUCUUAUCUUUUCCCCCACUAUAAUGCCAAUUCUAUAUGGGUUAUUUUUGUUCAAAAAGGCAGCAAAAAGAUAUUAUAGCCAGAGAAACAGCGUGUUAUUGCAGGUAACUGCUCUGCCGGAGAAACUGUGUUCUCCCUACCCUAUUAUUACAAAUUCUAAGAAGGAAAAAGAGAUUCCCUUUUCCUUCUUUAACUGGAUAAGUAGAACAUAUUCUAUAGGACUUGUUGAUUAUUGAAACUACUUAGAAAUUGUAAAAUUUGAUUUACAUCUGAUACAGGGGGAAUUUCAUCAUUUAAGAGACCACUUCAUGAUUCUGCCUCCUAUUGCUUUGUGUUCAAGCUGGUGAGUCCGUUUUGGCCUCCUCUUUCUGUGGUGAUGGGUAUGCAUAUUCUUUUACUACAGUAUGCUGAGAUUUUUUUUAAAAAUUUUUUUAAGGGCCUCAUUGAUUCAGAAACAGCCCCUCACCUGGCAUAUCAUUUGUAAUUUUUGUCAAGAUUCUCACAGAUGUUAAAUGUAGUAUGAUAAUACUUAGUAACACCCGGCCAGGCUAUUACAGAAUUACAUUUAUUUUAAUUGAUAUAUGAUAUAGUUGUCAUAAAGAAAACAAUCAUGCUAAUAGGCUUCUUACUACCCAAAUUGAACAUAGAUCUCUAUGGAAAAGGGUAGCAAUUAUAAACAAAUCAAUAAUUCAGACACAGCUAAAUAGAAAAUACAGUCUUAGGAAAUUGCUCCCUGAAGAGAAAUAUAAUAUUGUCAUUCCUAUAUCACUGAACAAAUGUAUAUAAUUGGCAGUGUUGUGGAAAAAAUACGAAACUUAGAGAGUUGGGUUAAAAUUCCAGCUUUGCUGCUUCUUUUCUUUGUAACCUAAAGCAAGUUACAUAACUUCCUAGUUUUGCCAUCUGUUAGUCCACAUGAUGAUACUUGCCACAAACUUUAAUGAAAAUCAAUAUAAAACACCCGUGUAGUGCCUGGUGGCAUAGUUGACACUCACUAAUUGGCAGUUCUUAUCACAACAGAAUCUUCGUUCUCUCUCCCUCUGAAGAAGAAUUAGCCCUUCUCCUCUUCCAAAUGCAGCUUUUCUGUUUAUGGAAAAUCAUUAUUUAGCAAUUUGACCUACAUUAGUCUAUACUUGCCUACUUGAUGUCCAGAUCUAAGCUAUCUAAAUAAGAUUUCCGGUAGAGAAUAGAAAAAGAUACAGCAAAAAGUCUAACACCUUUAAUUUGGUUUCCUCUUAGAUUUGUCAGCCAUCUCUUCUUUGAGCUACUUUCAUUUUAUGUGGAUCAUUUUCUCAUUCCUCCCCUUGCACUUUUCUUUGUUCCCGGAACAAUUUGUCAGCGAAUACUUCCCACCAUAUUUUUUGGCUCACUUUUCUUUUGAAAAUUUACUUCCUUCAGAAAAAUGUGUCCUUGGGAUUAAGAGAAGGACAUGAAGCAGAAAUCAGCUUGUGUCACUCAGGCCUACGGAGGAAGUGGUCUUUCUCUCGGGAUGAACAGCACUUCAUACGGUGUAAUAAAUGAGAUGGAUGAAUAAAGCGCUAAUCUCCAUUAGUGUCUCCACAGUGAAUUUUACCAUUGUGACCCUUGUGUCGGGGGCAGUUGUAAAAAGGACCCAGGUUUCUUUCUGGUUAUCACAUUUUUUUUUCACUUUAGCCCCCCUGUGGGCCCUAGAAAUACACUCUCGAGAUAUUUUUCAUUUCCAUUUUUAAGUAGUGAAAUAAUCUUAAUUAAAGAGAACUGGAAACACUCAAAUAUUGACAUUGCUGUUUGAGGGCAUACAAGGUCACUGACAACCCACAGCCUCACUAAAGACCAUUCCACAUGCUUCUCUGUGGUUUCCACAGACCCUUGGACUGCUCUCCUGGGGCUAUCUUUGGCUGCCCAGUAUUCUUGAUUGCAGUACUAACCUGGGACGUUUUAACAUAACCAUGCGGCUCGACAAAACUUUUGAAUUGCUCUGGGCAAAAGUCUUCCAAGUCAAGAAGGUCAUGUUGUACAUGAUUAUGAUUGGAGAAGUCAUUUUAGUUGGGCUGCCGUAUGUCAGACAUGAUAAAAAAUAUUUCAUUCUGUCAAAAGUAAUAGUCUGUCAAAAAAUAUUGAUUCAGCACCCACUAUGUGCUGGGCCAUGUGCUAGAUUCAGAUGUUUAGUUUCUACUUUCCUGAAGGGACAAUUCUGGUAGGAUCCAGAGGACAGGGCUAGCCUGCUUAUUAAAAAAAAAAAAAAAAAAAAAAAAGUAAUACAUCUUCUUUUCCAGACAAGAAGAAUGGCAGGGAGUGGCCUAGUGACAUUAGUCAUUAUUUUGGUGUAACCCAUGCCUCACCCCAGCCUUGUUUACCUUCUGAUACUAUUGAAAGAUUAAAAGGUUGUACUUUCCCUACCUCUCCUUGGGAUAAGAACCCUUUUAAGCUGUUAGUUAACCCAAAUUAGGAUCUGGAAUACAUUAUCAAAGUAAAUACACUCAUGAAACAAAAGAAACCCCAACAAGCAUUCGGUUUAACCCCAGUGUCAAGAAUGCUUGUCUUUUGUUGCCAGACUAACACUGAUAAAUUAUUCAAGAAAAACAAAAAGAAAACUCUAUACCAAAAAUAAUGUUGCUCUUUAUUAUAUCAUUUUAUUUUUCAUAUUAUUAGGUAUGUGUCACAUGAUCUCCCAUUUUAAAUGAAAUUCCUUGUUUUUUCAUUUUAUGUUUUGCUUUGUUUUCAAAUAGUAUUUUAAACUGCUCCAAGAUUGCUAGGUAAGAUUCCACUCCUUUUGUCAGGAGGAAUAUUCCUUUUGUCAUUAGGAAUAACUCUAAUAGUUGUAAAGUGACAGAGAAGAACUUUAGAAAAUACAUUUGUAAGUCAAAAAGAAUGUCCUAAUGUUUACUUUUGAUUAUUCACACUUUUUUCCAUUCCAUUAUUUAAAUAUAGGUAACUGUUAUUGUUUCUAACAAAAUAGUACUAAACUGCUAAAUCUAUUCUUGCAAAUUUUCCUUGUUUAUAUUUCCAUCUUAAAAGUUAUCCCUCUCCAUUUCUAAAUUUUAUUUUAUUCCUGGUUUCCUGGAAUUCCCCAUUACCAGAUUUAUGUUCUUAUUGUUACAUUUAGGGGGUGUUAUGUUCUUUUGCUUAGAAAUGUAAUACGGUUUGGCUGUGUUCCCACCUAAAUCUCAUCUUGAAUUGCAGCUCCCAUAAUUGCCAUAUGUUGUGGGAGGGACCCAAUGGGAGAUAAUUGAAUCAUAAUGGUGAUUUCCCCCAUACUCACAAGAUCCGAUGGUUUUAUAGGGGUUUCCCCAGUUCGCUUGGCUUUCAUUCUCUCUUGCCUGCUGCCAUGUAAGAUGUGCCUUUUACCUUCCAUCAUGAUUGUGAGGCCUCCCCAGCCACAUGGAACUCUGAGUUUAUUAAACCUCUUUUUCUUUAUAAAUUACCUAGUCUUGGGUAUGUCUUUAUCAGCAGCAUGAAAGCAGACUAAUACAUAAUGGAAAUGAUUUUUACCCAAAAUUUGAUAUUUAAUUAUUAAGCUUUUCUAAAUACUUUCUUCUUUGCUCAACAGCAAAGAAGUUGUUGACAUUCUUUACUGUUUCCUGGGUUAUCCCAAGACUGCAGCAAAGGAACCUUGAAAUAAAACACUGAGCAGUGACAUCUCUUAUCACUGUGUCUUGCUAGAAUGGACUACAAAUGUCAAAUCUAUUGAGAGGGACUUCUUAAAACAUUCUUUCAAGAAAAUACUACCACAACCAAUUCGAAUAUUAACUCUAGCUUCACAUUUAAUAGCUUUUUAAAAUUAAGAAACAUUCUGACCUUCAUUUAAAAGACGCAUGAAUCUGUUUUUGUGUGCUAACCCCUUAACUUUCUUACCCCUCAAAGUACAUAUAUGUUAUUGUUCCAAAUUAGUUUUUAUAGCUAAAUAAUAAAUUUAUAUAUUUAACUUUUAACUGAAAAUAUUAACUUUUUAUCUUUCCUUUCCUCAAUUUCUGUUAGCACUUCUGAAGUAUAUUGUCAAAUUUUAAGUAGCUAUGUUCAACAUUAGUCUUGUGAAGCAGUUUUCUGUAGGAAUAGGAAAUUUGUCCCAAAUCAUAUUAAGAGUCAUUUUUCACAAAGCUCCUAUCUUUAACCCUCAUUACAUAGUACCCUUGGAUAUGCAGGCUAAGCAUUGUUUUCCAUGUACUAUGCAAUGUUGUAUCUGUGUUUGUGUGUGUGUGUGUGUGUGUGUGUGUGUGUGUGUGUGCGUGUGUUAUUUAGAAAUAUGAGAAUGAAGGGAAGAAUUGCAAGAAGCAGCUAAAAGAGUUGAAAGUGGCUGGCUUAGGGAAGUGUGGUUUGGGUAUGUGGGGGCAUACAGCACGAAACUGCUGGUUGUAGUUCACUUUAAAAAUGUGUGUUUCUGUGUGUGUGUCUGUGUGGUGUGUAUGUGGGUGGUGUGUAUGUGUGUUUCUGACAAAAGUAAAAACAAAAAUAAACAGAUUUCAAAAAAGUAUCCUACACUUUAGUAGAAUGGCAGAGACAUAGGGACAAUGUUAGAUAUUUCAGAAACAUAAGAGUCUUGCAUGGCCAGUGCCUAAGAUAUGGAGGGUAAAAGGCAUAAUUUUCUCAAUCAACAAAUAUUUGUCAGAGACCUAGUACUUGCCUAUCCCUGUGCUAGAUACUAUGGACACAAUGAUAAAAUAUCAUUAUUCUUAUCUUCAUCCUACUCUAUCUCAAACUAAUCCUGGGUGCUAUAGGCCUAUAUAAUGUAAUAUGACAAGUGGGCUAUAUGAUGAUAUGCAUCUACCAGAUACCUGGAAAGUAUAGACAGUGUCCUCCGAAGUCACCUGUGGCUGGCACUGAUGGCAAGGAGAGAUCACCAGCAGACAUGGAGGGAGACAGGGGCAGGAGUGCUACUCAAGCUUGGCCUGAUUGGGAAGGGCAGGGUAUUCGUCUUCAGUAUUUAGACUUCAUGGU